CCUACGGGUGGCAGCAGUGGGGGAUAUUGCACAAUGGGGGGAACCCUGAUGCAGCGACGCCGCGUGGGUGAAGGAGCGUUUCGGCGCGUAAAGCCCUAUCGGCAGGGAAGAAGGAGGACGGUACCUGCAAAGGAAGCACCGGCUAACUCCGUGCCAGCAGCCGCGGUAAUACGGAGGGUGCGAGCGUUAAUCGGAAUUACUGGGCGUAAAGCGCUCGUAGGCGGUAUGUCAAGUCAAGGGUGAAAUCCCCGCGCUCAACGUGGGAACUGCCUUUGAAACUGGCAAACUGGAGUGUGUGAGAGGAUAGUGGAAUUCCAGGUGUAGGAGUGAAAUCCGUAGAUAUCUGGAGGAACAUCAGUGGCGAAGGCGACUAUCUGGCACAUAACUGACGCUGAGGAGCGAAAGCGUGGGUAGCAAACAGGAUUAGAUACCCCGGUAGUC
rnacentral:rRNA from 1 species